UACGUAGGGGGCAAGCGUUGUCCGGAUUUAUUGGGCGUAAAGAGCGUGUAGGCGGCCAGGUAGGUCUGCUGUGAAAACUCGAGGCUUAACCUCGAGCUGUCGGCGGAAACUAUCUGGCUAGAGUCCGGAAGAGGAGAAUGGAAUUCCCGGUGUAGCGGUGAAAUGCGCAGAUAUCGGGAAGAACACCAGUGGCGAAGGCGGUUCUCUGGGACGGUACUGACGCUGAGACGCGAAAGCGUGGGGAGCGAACAGG
rnacentral:rRNA from 1 species